rnacentral:lncRNA from 1 species
AAUUGAUUAUUACUUUCAAGAUGGCUGAAAGAUAUGCGAAAAAGUAUUAAAAAAAUAAUUAUAAUUCAGUGUAUUUCAAGAUAUGUGCUUUAUGAAAUCUAAAGUUCAAUGAAAUUAUGAAAAUGGCUCAUGUCAGGUUUUCUAGGUUUAUAACUGCAAUUUGAAUUGCAAAGCAAUAAAGCUUGUGUGAUGGCAAUAAUUAACUCUUAUCAGAAAAAAAAUUACAAAAUUUUAUAUAAAACAAAUUUGUUGAUAAGCUCGCAACAUUGUUUUCAGACGAUAAAUAAAUCUAAAUUUUAUUUGGAAAAGAGGUAGAAUGCAACAUUCAAAAAGUGACUUUUAGAUCAACUUUGUAUAUCUGUCGAAAACCCAAUUGUAAAGUUAAAGCGAUGCUAUAGCCGAGCCCAUAUCUCAAUCUCUCUGAAUAUAUAUCUGUCAAAGAUCGAUCUACAAAUUUGUGACAUUUUCUGUAUUUCUUUUUGUUAAGGCUUUACCUGAAUAUUUGCUGCCUAUUAUUUUUU